rnacentral:rRNA from 1 species
CACGUAGGGGGCGAGCGUUGUCCGGAUUUAUUGGGCGUAAAGAGCUCGUAGGCGGCUCGGUAAGUCAGGUGUGAAACCUCCAGGCUCAACCUGGAGACGCCACCUGAUACUGCCGUGGCUAGAGUCCGGUAGAGGAGCGUAGAAUUCCUGGUGUAGCGGUGAAAUGCGCAGAUAUCAGGAGGAAUACCAGCGGCGAAGGCGGCGCUCUGGGCCGGCACUGACGCUGAGGAGCGAAAGCGUGGGGAGCAAACAGG